rnacentral:rRNA from 1 species
AUUGAACGCUGGCGGCAGGCUUAACACAUGCAAGUCGAGCGAGCGGCGGACGGGUGAGUAAUGUCUGGGAAACUGCCUGAUGGAGGGGGAUAACUACUGGAAACGGUAACUAAUACCGCAUACCAUCAGAUGUGCCCAGAUGGGCUUAGCUAGUAGGUGGGGUAAUGGCUCACCUAGGCAACGAUCCCUAGCUGGUCUGAGAGGAGGACGAGCCACACUGGAACGGAGACACGGUCCAGACGCCUACGGGAGGCGGCAGGGGGGAAUAUUGCACAAGGGGCGCAAGCCUGAUGCAGCCAUGCCGCGUGGGUGAAGAAGGCCUUCGGGUUGUAAAGCACGUUCAGCGAGGAGGCGUUACUCGCAGAAGAAGCACCGGCUAACUCCGUGCCAGCAGCCGCGGUAAUUC